rnacentral:rRNA from 1 species
GGACGAACGCUGGCGGCGUGCCUAAUACAUGCAAGUUGAGCGAUGAAGAUUGGUGCUUGCCCCAAUUUGAAGCGCAGCGAACGGGUGAGUAACGCGUGGGGAAUCUGCCUUUGAGCGGGGGACAACAUUUGGAAACGAAUGCUAAUACCGCAUAACAACUUUAAACAUAAGUUUUAAGUUUGAAAGAUGCAAUUGCAUCACUCAAAGAUGAUCCCGCGUUGUAUUAGCUAGUUGGUGAGGUAAAGGCUCACCAAGGCGAUGAUACAUAGCCGACCUGAGAGGGUGAUCGGCCACAUUGGGACUGAGACACGGCCCAAACUCCUACGGGAGGCAGCAGUAGGGAAUCUUCGGCAAUAGACGAAAGUCUGACCGAGCAACGCCGCGUGAGUGAAGAAGGUUUUCGGAUCGUAAAACUCUGUUGGUAGAGAAGAACGUUGGUGAGAGUGGAAAGCUCAUCAAGUGACGGUAACUACCCAGAAAGGGACGGCUAACUACGUG